CUGGUAGUUUUUAGAAUUUGGGUCAAUUUAAGAGGCCUCUGCAUGCAUUUAAGAUCUUUUGAAUGGAUUUCAUUUUUAUUUUCGUAAGUGCAAAAAGAAGAGUAUUGUAUGUCCGAGAAGAGCUUUUUGUGAUCUCUUUCCCUUGGUCUGAGUGUACGUGACGAUAGGAGUGGCUCUGGGUAUAAUGCAGAUUCUUUGAUGAAACUGAGAUUCAAAU